CGGCUCAGUAACACGUGGAUAACCUACCCUCAGAUCUGGGAUAACUCCGGGAAACUGGAGAUAAUACCGGAUAAUCCGUGAACGCUGGAAUGCCUUACGGUUGAAAGCUUUAGCGUCUGAGGAUGGGUCUGCGGCCGAUUAGGUAGUUGCUGGGGUAACGUCCCAACAAGCCGAUAAUCGGUACGGGUUGUGAGAGCAAGAGCCCGGAGAUGGAUUCUGAGACACGAAUCCAGGUCCUACGGGGCGCAGCAGGCGCGAAAACUUUACACUGCGCGAAAGCGCGAUAAGGGGACCUCGAGUGCGUGCGCAAAGCGUACGCUUUUCAGAUGCCUAAAAAGCAUCUGGAAUAAGGGCCGGGCAAGACCGGUGCCAGCCGCCGCGGUAACACCGGCGGCUCAAGUGGUGGCCGCUAUUAUUGGGCUUAAAGGGUCCGUAGCCGGACCAGUUAGUCCCUUGGGAAAUCUUACGGCUUAACCGUAAGGCUGCCAAUGGAUACUGCUGGUCUUGGGACCGGGAGAGGCAAGAGGUACCUCAGGGGUAGGAGUGAAAUCCUGUAAUCCUUGAGGGACCGCCAGUGGCGAAGGCGUCUUGCUAGAACGGGUCCGACGGUGAGGGACGAAAGCUAGGGGCACGAACCGGAUU
rnacentral:rRNA from 1 species